GAUGAACGCUAGCGGCAGGCUUAACACAUGCAAGUCGAGGGGUAUUGGUUUUCGGACCAAGAGACCGGCGCACGGGUGCGUAACGCGUAUGCAAUCUACCUUUUGCAGAGGGAUAGCCCCAGAGAAAUUUGGAUUAAUACCUCAUAGUAUAGCAGUUUCGCAUGAAACCACUAUUAAAGUUCCAACGGUAAAAGAUGAGUAUGCGUCCCAUUAGCUAGAUGGUAAGGUAACGGCUUACCAUGGCUACGAUGGGUAGGGGUCCUGAGAGGGAGAUCCCCCACACUGGUACUGAGACACGGACCAGACUCCUACGGGAGGCAGCAGUGGGGAAUUUUGGACAAUGGGCGCAAGCCUGAUCCAGCAAUGCCGCGUGCAGGAUGAAGGCCUUGGUGUAAACUGCUUUGUUACGGAACGAAACGGUAGAGCUCUAAUAC
rnacentral:rRNA from 1 species